GAGGGUAUAGCUCAGGGGCAGAGGGUAUGCCUAGCAUGCACAAGGCCCUGGUUUCAAUUCCCAGUACCUCUG
rnacentral:tRNA from 1 species